UACAGAGGUCUCAAGCGUUGUUCGGAUUCAUUGGGCGUAAAGGGUGCGUAGGUGGUUAGGUAAGUCGGAUGUGAAAUCCCGGGGCUCAACCUCGGAACUGCAUUCGAUACUGCCUGACUGGAGUACUGGAGAGGAGAUUGGAAUUUACGGUGUAGCAGUGAAAUGCGUAGAUAUCGUAAGGAAGACCAGUGGCGAAGGCGGAUCUCUGGACAGUUACUGACACUGAGGCACGAAGGCCAGGGGAGCGAACGGG
rnacentral:rRNA from 1 species